rnacentral:rRNA from 1 species
UUCGCCUUACUGAGACACGGCCCAGACUCCUACGGGAGGCAGCAGUGGGGAAUAUUGCACAAUGGGCGAAAGCCUGAUGCAGCGACGCCGCGUGAGGGAUGACGGCCUUCGGGUUGUAAACCUCUUUCAGUAGGGAAGAAGCGAAAGUGACGGUACCUGCAGAAGAAGCGCCGGCUAACUACGUGCCAGCAGCCGCGGUAAUACGUAGGGCGCAAGCGUUAUCCGGAUUUAUUGGGCGUAAAGAGCUCGUAGGCGGUUUGUCGCGUCUGCCGUGAAAGUCCGAGGCUCAACCUCGGAUCUGCGGUGGGUACGGGCAGACUAGAGUGAUGUAGGGGAGACUGGAAUUCCUGGUGUAGCGGUGAAAUGCGCAGAUAUCAGGAGGAACACCGAUGGCGAAGGCAGGUCUCUGGGCAUCUACUGACGCUGAGGAGCGAAAGCAUGGGGAGCGAACAGGAUUAGAUACCCUGGUAGUCCAUGCCGUAAACGUUGGGCACUAGGUGUGGGGAACAUUCCACGUUUUCCGCGCCGUAGCUAACGCAUUAAGUGCCCCGCCUGGGGAGUACGGCCGCAAGGCUAAAACUCAAAGGAAUUGACGGGGGCCCGCACAAGCGGCGGAGCAUGCGGAUUAAUUCGAUGCAACGCGAAGAACCUUACCAAGGCUUGACAUGUUCCAGACCGCCUCAGAGAUGGGGUUUCCCUUCGGGGCUGGUUCACAGGUGGUGCAUGGUUGUCGUCAGCUCGUGUCGUGAGAUGUUGGGUUAAGUCCCGCAACGAGCGCAACCCUCGUUCCAUGUUGCCAGCACGUAAAGGUGGGGACUCAUGGGAGACUGCCGGGGUCAACUCGGAGGAAGGCGGGGACGACGACGAAGGGCGAAUU